AUUGAACGCUGGCGGCAGGCCUAACACAUGCAAGUCGAGCGGAUGAAGGGAGCUUGCUCCUGGAUUCAGCGGCGGACGGGUGAGUAAUGCCUAGGAAUCUGCCUGGUAGUGGGGGAUAACGUCCUGAAACGGGCGCUAAUACCGCAUACGUCCUGUGGUAGAAAGUGGGGGAUCUUCGGUUCUCUCGCUAUCAUAUGAGCCUAGGUCGGAUUAGCUAGUUGGUGGGGUAAAGGCCUACCAAGGCGACGAUCCGUAACUGGUCUUAGAGGAUGAUCAGUCACACUGGCAGUGAGACACGGUCCCGACUCCUACGGGAGGACGCAGUGGGGAAUAUUGGGCAAUGGGCGAAAGCCUGAUCCAGCCAUGCCGCGUGUGUGCAGAAGGACUUCGGAUUGUAAAGCACUUUAAGUUGGAGGGAAGGGAAGUAAGUUAAUCCCUUGCUGUUUUGACGUUACCAACAGAAUAAGCACCGGCUAACUUCGUG
rnacentral:rRNA from 1 species